UCUUAGAUGCUGCCACCAUCCACCCAGUUGCUCAAGACAACCUGAAUCAUCCUUUUGUUAUCUGCACAUCCAAUUGGUCAUCAGGCUUUGUCCCGGAGGGUCCCUGCUAUAUAGAUCCUGAUUCCUGGGCUGUGUUGGAACAGGAGGAGGGCCUGUGUCUCCUCAGGGAUGCCCAUUGGAACCUCUAGUUGCAGGCUGAGGGAUCCUCCAGGCUCCUUACAGCUGCGACCAAGUCCCAGCACUACGGCCGAUGAAUUGGCUGCCUGCGCCAUGUCUUUCAUCACAGCCUGUGAAAGUGAACCCACUCCCAGUGCACUUCCGCUCCUCCACCCAGCGCACUCGGUGUCUACAGUCUCUCCUGGACCAAGAAACAGGACUCCAAGGGCUGGUGAGAUGGCCAAGCCCGAUGACCUAAAUUGAAGCUCCAGAAGCCACACAGUAGAAAGAGUGAAUCAUCUCCAGCAAGCAGUCCUCUGCCUUCUACAUGUGCACACACAUGUCUCCCUGACAAUAAUUUUAAAUGCUCUUUUAGAAAAUGAAAUAGAAAGAAACUGGCCAGAGACUCCUCUCCUGAUCUGUGUGCCUGUCCUUCUGAAGCUCUCAAACACCAAAGAUACUGCUGACCCAAGCCCCCAGCCCAACGCACCAUGGCCACCCCAGUUUCUGUGCUGUUUGACUGAAUCUGUGGAGAACAUGUGUUCCAGAUAUGACAGAACAUGGAACAUGUUGAAUGGUCAUAGUACAUCAUUCAAAUUUCAGGAUUACUCCUGAUGCCAAGGGAUACACAAUCAGCCAGAUGUUGAAUGGCUCUAUUAAAAAUCAGAAUAUCACUGGAAAAGCUAAGUGAGAAGCAAGAAGAUUGGCUGGACACUGGUGGAAACACCCAACGCCCCCCCACUCACCAUUAGUUCACAGGGUUGUCACUGUAUUGGGCUAUUUAAAGGAGCAGGACUGACAGGAUAUAUUCAUGAGAAUUUAUCACACUGAUUUACAUGAGCAGAAUGGCCAACAGCUCACCAGAACACCACCAGCCACCAAUGCCUCCUUGACCUGAGCUAGCAGGGGACAGUGCCUGCCCACAACACAGCAGGGCAAGUGAUAGGGCCACACACAGCUCCCAGAGACAUCUGGUCACAUAGAUGUCACACCCGUGGCCAAAAACCUCAAAUACAAUGAACAGAGCUGAAAACCUGUGCACCGAAGCUUCCUUCACGUCCAGUGUUGUCCUGCACACUGAGGCCAUACCACGGCCACCCUCAGGAAAGCUUCCGUACACACCCAAGUCUGUAAGCACAAACAAAGAUGCCGUUUGUCUGGCCCUGUGGAAACACAAACAAAAAGGUUAGCAUUGGGAUUGCUAUGUUGGGAGUCAACCAAGCAGGGCUCAUAGGGGCUCACAGAGACUGAAGCAGCAACUGUGGAGCCUGCAUGGGUCUGUGCUAGGCCCUUGGCAUGUAUGUUAUGGUUGUUAGCUUGGUGUCUUUGUAGGACUCCUAGUAGUGAAAGCAGGGGCUGUUCUUUUGCCUGUUCUUGGGAGCCUUUUCCAGCCUUGACAUGAGGGAUUAUGCCUAGUCGGUAUGUAUUGUAUGA